CUGUCACUUCUGUAGGCCAAUA
rnacentral:miRNA from 1 species